UCUUUUUAAGUUAUAUAUAUAUAUAUAUAUUGGUCUACAUUAAAAUGACAUGUUUACAGGACUGUAUAUUUGCUGUAUGUUUAAUUAAGGUAGGACCCAGUCUCAAGGCAGUUCGUGUAAUUUAAUCUAUUGAUUCGUGUCCAUGGACACGAUUUUCCCCUUUUUUCGUGCCAGUCAGAACGACUUUCAAUCUAAUGUAUUUCAAUAGGAAGUAUUUUUCGUGCCUGCACCACGUUUUUUUGUCCUAUUAUUUUUUUCGUGUUUAUAAGCACGAAUGUAAUCUAAUGUAUUGCAAUGGUAUAUACCAGGGAUUGUUUUACUUUAUUUGUCAUUAAUUGAUUACACUUUAAGCGCUACUUUACUCAACAUUUAAUCAGGAGAUGUUUAUCCUAUAAUAUUGAUUUUUCGAUCGGUUUCGUGUGUCAAAUACAAGAGUAAAUACUACAGUACCCAUGAGCCUUAUCGACAUCUACUAUGGUGAAGGCACCAGCUAAAACUACAUGUGGGCCCGCUGCAGAUCACAAUAUUUUCUCAACACAUGAACACUAACGUGUGCUUGAUAAUUCAACAAUACGAUGUUAUGGCCAUCAAUUUUGAUUGUUUCUACUUUGAUUGUAAAAAAAAAUAAGUCAGUUUCGGACGCCUGCAUUUCCCAGAAUCCUCUCUGCCUCCGUUGCUAUGGAAUCUGAGCCAGUCCUCUUUGCUAUUGGGUGAUUUCUUCUUCGGUACUCGUGACAGGGAUUCUCUCAUUACGCGAAAAUCACUGUCCAGCUGUGUGUUUGUCUUUCUGUCUUUGUCUGCUUUGCAAUGGCCACCAGAUAUACCCCUCACAAACAGGAUCCCCACUACCAAGAGGGGAGGCUCAUGGCUCUUGAGCUGAACCAUGACCACAUUCUAGCUGAAGCCAAGAGAGCAGCUGUGGAGACGAAACGUUUAUGCCCUAGAAGAGACCCUUCACAGACCUCUAAAAGGAUCUUUGUUGGCUGGGGCAAGCCGAGGGGGAGGCAAGGAGGGUGACGCCAAGCCUCAGCUACAGGUCAGUUUUACAGGUUGAGUGCUUCCUGUCAUCCAGUGUGGAGUUUCCACUUAACUGUACCCUCAGCAAAACUAAAUCCUCAUGAGGAAUUUGGUGCAGAGAGUGGUUCUGUGGGGACCGUGAUGUAUUACGUCACAAAAAACAGCCACUCCCCAAUAGGGAAUGUGUAAUUAAUAGGUUUUUUGUAGCCAUCCGUCCAACCAAAUGCAUCAUUAAAGGGGAAGAUGGAUAUUGCACUCAACACAAGAUAUGUUCAUCAUUCACCAGUUCUCACUUCCCUGGACUUCAACCUUGCUACACACAUGGUAUCGUUAUUAAUCGAAACAAAGACAGAUAUCUUUAUAUUUUUGUUCUCUGCAGACAAACAAAAAAUGUUAGCUGUUGCAAAGCAAUUUGGUGAGUUAGCAAAUGAUACUACUCGAGAAGUUAGGCAGAAGGAGUGCUAUACUGGGAUUAUAGAAACUUAUAAGAUGUCUCUUAAACAUUCACAAUGUGCAGAAUGAACUAACUGUUUUAAAAUAGUAUGUGGUAAAUGUUUUUUUUCCAAGGGCGUUUUGACUUGCCUCAGCCACUGUAUGUCUGUUAAACAUGCAAACAGCAAAGGACCCCAGACCUGAAAGACCUUCUGAGGAGUGGAUAUUGGCCAGCUUCAAUAAACAACACCACACUUUACACACUGGACCUCCUGAUCUCCUUUCAAGAACUCAAGGUCAUCUCUCCAAGCUUCUCCAGACAAGCCUUCGCAAAGCUGCUGGAGCAUCGCACGAAGUGUGGAGGAAGAUUUGAAUAUAUCAACGGCGAUGCACUGCAACGCAGCUUCUUGGAGUUUUCAUACGCUUCAUUUGAAGCAGACCAGCUCUGGUGUGGUGCUCCUUUCACCUGCCCAGCCUGAACGCUAGAAUUGUUGGCUGCUUCAGCAGAUCGAAACAGAAAGCUAUAUCGCUUUUGCCGAAACAGAAGACUGUGGCUUGCAAAUAUUGGCCAUUUGAAGAAAGUUGCUAGUGUCCUUCCUGAUCUUCAGGAGCUGACCUCAAUGAAACCUUUCCUUAAUGUUAUGCAUGCUUGAGCCACACAAAAAAGUUUGAGAUUAAAUGAAGUCAAGGAACCAGGAAGGAACAGGGACAACCACCGGUGAGUGGAGCAAGUGAACAGCUACCUUUCACGUUGUGCCCGUACAACCAAAUAUAUGUCCAAAGCAGGGGUGGACAUGCUUACAUUGCAUGCAAUGGGCUGGAACCAUAAAAAAGUAUCUCUCUACAUCAGGCACUUUCCACAAUAUAUGUGAAAAGACAUCAGAAACAUCUCAUGCCAGUCAAGGCACCACACACAGAGAACUUCAGCAGUCAAUUGAGGGGCUUUAUCUUGGUGUGAUGCUCUGCAAGCAAACUCUCUACCGUCAGAAUGACAGCAGCAAGCUUCCCUAACUGGAGAGAGCAGUGUGUCUCAGAUAUGGCCGCGGGACCUUCAUGGCAGUGGUAUGUCACUAUUCAG